rnacentral:miRNA from 1 species
AUGUUCUGUAUCUUGAUUGUA